rnacentral:lncRNA from 1 species
AAACAUUGCCCAAGGAUGCUUCCAAAGAACUGGAAAGAGCACCCCUAAGAGGGCAGGAGCCAGCCUCCACCAUUCCCAGCUGGGUGAGAACUUUCCUUCUGGUGCCCUUCCUUCCCGUACGCUGACUCUGGAGGUCCAGAAAGCAUCAGGCUGAAAAAAAAAUCCCUGGAGAGAGGAUAGAAGGACUCUCAGCAGUCUGCACAUUGCUAGGUGGGAGUCGGGAGAAAGUCUAAUUUUAUAUUGUUUGGGAUUUUUAUCCUUAUAUAGGAUCAAGCAUUUUUGGCAACUGAAUGGACACUGUUUGAGACUUGAAAGGACCACUUAUUACUUAUUACUUAGUUCACAGGACUUGGGACACUGCCUGUUUCUCCCUGAGGCAAAGGAAGAAUUUUCCCACUGUAAAUAUUUUAAAAGAACAGUGGAUUCUUAUAAGAUCUUACGAGCUUUUCCUGUUCAAUGAACAUCUUUAGAAUUCUUGUACUUUACAAGCUCCUCUGAAGCAUCCCUGACUCUCUGACUGCUCUGUUUGAGGUCUUCCCUCUUUGCAUGACUGUCCUCUGUCCUUAACGGCUGCCUAGAAUCCUGUGGUGUGGGUGUACAAG